UUUUUAAACGCUAAAAUUCCAUAGUCCUUUUACAGUGUCAAAAACAUACUUGUGAAGGCGUUCUUACAGAAGUCAGACCGCAGGUAAACCAGGCACUUUGGAAACCAUACUUCGUUAAUAACGAUGUCACUACAGAUUCCCGUACUUAUAAUUGGCUAGCUGGUCAUAGAGGUCGUCACGCUAACAAAAGGAACCCCUUAAAAGGACGGAUUCAAAGAAGAUUAAGAAUAUAUGAAUCAAUCUGGAUAUAACUACUGAAUAAUAUGUUUAUCGCGAAUAAACUGUGUAUAUUAUAUUAUA